UGAGUCCCUCUGUCAUGUGGACCUGGGAAGCUUGUCCUCAUCCUCCAUCCUUCCCCAGGGUGGGGCCUGAGAAUCUGAGAACCUUGAGCCUGGGAGGUCAAGGCUGCAGUGAGCUAUGAUCGCACCACUGCACUCCAGCCUGGGCAACAGAGUGAGACCCUGCCUCAAAAAAAAAAAAUAAUAAUAAUAAUAAAUAAAAGAGACUCCAGGGAGUUUGCUUGACCGGCACUCCCUACGAACCAAAAACAGACACCAACUC
rnacentral:lncRNA from 10 species